rnacentral:sRNA from 1 species
CAGCCCUAAGAAGGGGUGCUGUUAUCCCCUUUUUACAGAUAAGAAAACUGAAGCUCAGAGAGGGCACUGCCUUCCCCAAGGUCACCCAGCUACAAGUAACAAAGCCUGUGCUUCUAACACCAAAGACCACUUCCCGCUGAUACUGUGCCAGGCUUGUAAGUCUCUCUCUGGGCCUCCAUUCCCUCCUGUAGGAAAUUGGAGGGGUUGGGGUGGCUCCAGUGAGCUCUCCCCUUCUGAAACUCAUACUAAUCUGGGGCAGCCAAGGCUUAGCCCCGCCAGCCUGUGAACCUCUCACAGUGCCCACAGCCAUGCCCUCCUCCGUCCAGGGGCUGACAGGUGGGAGGGGUAGCCCUGCCUCAAGGAGUGGACUUACCUGGCCUCUCUGCUCAGAGAUCAUCAAUUACGAAUUUGACACCAAGGACCUGGUGUGCCUGGGCCUGAGCAGCAUCGUUGGCGUCUGGUACCUGCUGAGGAAGCACUGGAUUGCCAACAACCUUUUUGGCCUGGCCUUCUCCCUUAAUGGAGUAGAGCUCCUGCACCUCAACAAUGUCAGCACUGGCUGCAUCCUGCUGGGCGGACUCUUCAUCUACGAUGUCUUCUGGGUAUUUGGCACCAAUGUGAUGGUGACAGUGGCCAAGUCCUUCGAGGCACCAAUAAAAUGGAUCUUCAUUGCCUUGCUGCUGCGCUUUGACAUCAGCUUGAAGAAGAAUACCCACACCUACUUCUACACCAGCUUUGCAGCCUACAUCUUCGGCCUGGGCCUUACCAUCUUCAUCAUGCACAUCUUCAAGCAUGCUCAGCCUGCCCUCCUAUACCUGGUCCCCGCCUGCAUCGGUUUUCCUGUCCUGGUGGCGCUGGCCAAGGGAGAAGUGACAGAGAUGUUCAGUUAUGAGGAGUCAAAUCCUAAGGAUCCAGCGGCAGUGACAGAAUCCAAAGAGGGAACAGAGGCAUCAGCAUCGAAGGGGCUGGAGAAGAAAGAGAAAUGAUGCGGCUGGUGCCCGAGCCUCUCAGGGCCAGACCAGACAGAUGGGGGCUGGGCCCACACAGGCGUGCACCGGUAGAGGGCACAGGAGGC